GACGGGGCCCGCACAAGCGGUGGAGUAUGUGGUUUAAUUCGAUGCAACGCGAAGAACCUUACCUGGUCUUGACAUCCCGGAGACCCUUAGGAAACUAGGGGGUGCUUCCAUCUGGAAGAAUCUGGAGACAGGUGCUGCAUGGCUGUCGUCAGCUCGUGUCGUGAGAUGUUGGGUUAAGUCCCCGCAACGAGCGCAACCCUUGCCUUUAGUUGCCAGCAGUUCGGCUGGGCACUCUAAAGGGACUGCCGGUGUUAAACCGGAGGAAGGUGGGGAUGACGUCAAGUCCUCAUGGCCUUUAUGACCAGGGCUACACACGUACUACAAUGGCCGAUACAAAGGGCAGCGACACUGCGAGGUGAAGCCAAUCCCGUAAAAUCGGUCUCAGUCCGGAUUGGAGUCUGCAACUCGACUCCAUGAAGUUGGAAUCGCUAGUAAUCGUGGAUCAGCAUGCCACGGUGAAUACGUUCCCGGGCCUU
rnacentral:rRNA from 1 species